AAGAUAGAAGAAGCCUGAUUACCAAGGGCAGUAUUUUCUGGACUUCCACCAACGGUGGAUGCCUAAAGGAUUCCUGAGCUUCCCCUACUCAGGAUCUGCAGUGACCCUGUAGUAUACUUCUCAGACCAUGGCCAAAUGGCCUUGAAGGUCUGUAGCCAUAACAUGGUGAACAAGUCUGAUGACACGAUGAAUAAGCCUGAGCUUGUCCAUUUCAAAACAAGAGUUGUCAAUUUUGCCCUCGUACUAGACUUCCCAGCCUACUUGCGAGCAUGCUGAUUUUUGGGGUUUGGGCUAAGCUAUAAGCAGUGCAGACAUCCAGACAUCAGGCUCCAAAAUCCCCUCUACAACUUAGGGAUGCACAGCUUUGGUUUCAGUGCAUGUCAGUAGCAUCCUACAGACCCAACGUGCUACACAGUCUGCACGUUCCAUGCAUGUUCAUGGCUGCUUCCCUGACUGUAACUGCAGGGAAGACAAAAGAGCUCAGAGGUUGUCAAUGCCACACUAGGUUGGUAUUUCAUUUUCUUGCCCUGAUGUUCCAUCACGAAAAACAAAUACAUAAAUAAAGACCUAAACAUUUUUUUGGUUGGAAUGGUCAGGCCAUGCCUGCUUAGCAUCGUCACUACAGAUCUUUAUCAGGCUAACCAAACAUUGUUUUCCCAACCUUCCUGGCUGCUCCUACUUUCAGUUGAGGAAACCGAAUCUUUUAGUUUUCCUGUUCUCUGGACCAAGGUGAUGAUUUCCUGGCUUCUUGAUCUUUUUUUGUUUUCAUUGUGUUUUCAACUCUGAAAUGUUUUCACAGAGGGUUUUAAACCCUACUAACCCAGUAUUUUUUCCUUUUGUUUUCUCCACACCCUGAAGUAAGUGGCUUCUCAAAAGCACAGACAGCUAGAGCUAGAUGAAGCCUCAGGGAAUAAUUUAGGUCAAUCCCUUUCCUUCAGCUUGAGGAGUAAGGGAAACACACUGACAUUUUCUGGGAAACUGCCACUUGCGAGGUAUAGAGUCUACAUGUGGCAUUUUGCAAAAUUACCUCAUUUAAACCUUAGAAUAGCUCUGAGAGGUAGAUGUUCUGUCUUCCUGUUUUAGACAAGGAAGCUAUGGUACAGAGAAAUUAACUGGUCUAUGUGAGAUCAUACAGUUAGCUAGUGACAUAGCUGAGACUCAAACCCAAGCUUUUUGAAGAUUAGGCCAGGGUUCUCCUCUCUACCAUACUGGCCUGGCUGAGGCCUGCCAACUAGGUCCAGCUUUUGUUAGAAGUGGGCUUAAGGCAAGAGGGUUCUAAGAAAGGUUAUGACACAGGGAAUUUAAUUAAAGGUUAAAUUCUGGCAUUUGUUAUUAACAUUUUAUAUAGCUUUAAUAGAGAUAUCAGUAGCAGACUAUAACAUGCUAUUAUUACAGUAAUAUGGAUUAGGAAAGGUUUUCAGCAGAGAAAAUGGUGAAAUGGUUAACAUUUUCACAAGAAAAGGGAGUAUUCGUCCUAAACAGGAAGAACUGGCUUGAAUUCAAAGUGAUUAUAUAACUCCUGACUUCAAUCAUGGCACUCUCUUAAGUAGGCUUAAAUUCAUGCUUCAAUAUGGUUGCCAGGAAACUGGAAACACUGGUUGUUGCAGGCACAAAGUACCUUAAAGACAGAGGUAUGCCUAAGAAUGUUGCUGAUAAUCUAUUUUUCUACAACAGUGAUGAGGGAUGAGUUCAGCAAUGACUGCUUGUUGUCAGCUAUCUCAUGGGCCAAUAUUGAUAAAGCCCUGUAAGUACCUGGGGGGGGGAACCUGGAAGGUGGGGAGAAGUAGCGCAAGCGGCCCCAGCAGCAGCAUGGAACAGAUCAGGGAGGAGAAAGACAGGCAGCCUCGCCUUAAGUUGGAUGAGCACAAGAGGGGUGGGGCAAGGGACUGAGGACCAGGGGAAGGAGGCUGAGCGGGUUGGGGAUGGGGAGAAGGCAGGGGAAGGAGGAUGAACAUAAAAACGCCAGGACAGCAAAAGCCUGAAGAGAAAAAUAUGUCCAAACAAAAAAUAUAAAGGGGAGACAGAUAAAAGAACAGGAGUAAAUCACAUGCUACGAAAACAGCCACAAACGGAUUUUCCAUUUCAUGUCAAAAUGAUGAAAAGUGAGAGCUGGCCUGUGUGCCAGUAGCCUUCAGAAACUCAGAAAUAAAAUAUCCCAUUUGAAAAUAGUUUGGGGAGCCAGUAGAUGACAAGAUUCCUCCUGCAGGCAAAAGUGAAUUAAAGCAACGAUAGUAUCUACUGCUCCUUCCCCACUCCCACUGUUUGGCUGGCAAGCACAUGUGAGCUCAGCAGGACUCUGUAAUUGCUUUUUAAGAGUAUCCGGUAGAACUCAAGAUUGUGUGUUCACAAACUCCAUAUAAAAACAGGGUCAUCUUUGCCUUCCACGAAGUGUUUUUCACCCUGUUUCAAGGCCCAGCUUAGUCUUUUUUCCCCUUACUAAAGUGGCAAACAAAGAAUUCUCUGACACACUGCACCCACUGCAGAUGAAAGCACUUAAGUGUGAGUGAAAGCAACAAUGUUGAGAGUGACAUUUACUAGCUGAAAACAGUGAAAUCAGAGCGUUCCAGUUCACGGAGAUUAAAUGUCAGGCUUUAAACAUUUAGCAGAGUAUUAACUAUGGAAGUUUUAAAGUUUAGGAUUCGGUUUUAUAUUGCAAACAGCACUUAAAGCAAGGAAACAAGUGGUCCAUAGGCUGAAUAAACAUAUUUAUUUUCAAUUGAAAGUGAAUGAACUGCAGGGCAGUUACUGAGCUCAGUGCAACAAUACCAGAGGUGCUCACUGUCCUUCACCAUCCCAGAUUAAUAAGAGAAGGGUGACAUUCCUCACACUUCAUGUUUUGGAAGAUACAAGUCAAAGUCCAAAACACAGGGGUUUGCAGGCACAUAAUAUUCCACAGUGGUUGUGGACUUUAAAAGUUCAAGAGUUGUUAUAUUAUUGUUCUAGAACGAAUGCCCUCAUUCUUUUUUUUUUUUUUUUUGAGACAGGGUCUUGCUUUACUGCCCGGGCUGGAGUACGGUGGCACCAUAAUGACUCACCACAGCCUUGACCUCCUGGGGUCAAGUGAGCCUCCUGCCUCCACCUCCUGAGUAGCUGAGACUACAGUGUGUGUCAUCAUGCCUGGCUAAUUUUUUAAAAAUUUUUAAAUAUUUUGUAGAGAUGAGGUCUUGCUAUGUUGCCUAGGGUGGUCUUGAACUCUUGGCCUCAAACAAUCCUCCUGCCUCGGCCCCUCAAAGUGUUGGGAUUAUAGGGAUGAGCCACCAUGCCCAACCUGAAUGCCUUUUAAUGCACCAAAAAAGUUAGAGAGGAAAAUAUAGCACUUUUGUUUUCUUUUAAGAUUAUUUUCCAUGGAUAAAUUUAUGACAAAAUUAGCUAUAAUUUCUAAAUAUAACAUCCAUUUUUUGAUUCAAUCACAAAACCUCAGAAUUUGAUAUCAGCAGUCCUUUCAUUCAAAGUCAGCUAGUAAGUAUCUUUUCUAUUAUGCUUACUAUGAGGUGUUGGAUAGAUACAAAGCCAGUGAUAAUGGAUAUUUCAAACUUUGUUUUAAACAUCUUGUAAGCAUUGUAUUCAAUUCCCAAUAUCUUUAUGAGGUGGCCACGAUUAUCCUCAUUUUACAGAUAAGAAACCUGGGGCUUUGAAAGAUUAAGGACUUUGCCCAAGACCAGAGGACUACUAAAUUAUGUAGAACUGAAACUCCAGCCGCUGACUCCAAAGCAUGGGUUUUAUACUGAAUUGUCCUAAAUAGAACCUCCAUGGAAACUGAGGGAAGACUGUACUUGGUUUGUUUGGAACUUUACAAAAGCUGUUCACCAUUUUAAAAAAUUACAUCAUGGGCAACAAAGCUGCUCACAGGUUUUGAGUUAUCAAUACGAUGAACCCGGACUGGUCUGAAUUGUAGCUGUCCUACUCAUGGUAAUUCUAUAUUCAGAAUCUAUGCACUUGAUUAUGCCUCCUGGUUUGUCAUGCCUGGGUAUGUACAUAUUGCAAAACACGUAAUUUGAUUACAAAUUCCUUUCCUUUUAUUUUUUCCUUUUUAUUAAAAUUAGAGCAUUUUAUUACACUUUUGGAAUUAUAUAUAGGUAGGUUCCAUUAACUAUGACUUUCAUUUUAGGAUAGGAAAAGGCAUGAUAUAAAAAGGAUUACAAUAGGUUUGAGAAUCACUAGUGAGAGAUGGACAUAUAUAAAUUGAAUUGAAUACAAAGGAAUCCAUGGAAACACUUCAGAGAGGUAAAAAGUAAAAGGGAGAACCAGGAAGAGAGAUUAUUGGCCAUAGGAGAUCUGGGAAGACUCAUGGAGGAAGUAUGAAAUGAGCAGGUGCUGACUGAUAUCCUCCGUUAGAAUAACUCCAGAAAUGUGGGGCUUAGUACCCACCUUAGAACCUGCCUCCAGUGAGGCCCAGUCAUUCUGGCAUGGCUUUGUUAUCAAUUUCUUUUCCAUGCUUUACCCGUAUCUUCCCGACAAAGGUCUUUGUUCUGGAAGGCUCCAAUGGGCAGAGCAUGAUGAAUCCCUAACCUCUGUGGUGUCUCUUCUGGAAUCUGAAAACUGUGGUCUCUGUAAUACUUUCUGGUUAAUCUCCUCUUCUUUAGGCUAAAUCUCCCCACUUCCUCCAACUGUUUCUUAUAUAACUCGGUUUCAUAUUUCCUCACCAUCUGGAUCAUUUUCCUCUGAACAUGCUGCAAUUUGUCAAUGGCCCUUUAAAAGUGUGAUGCCUAGAACCGAAUGUGGCUUCCAGAGCUGAAAUAUAUAACUGUAUUUCCUAAUAUUUCCAAAAGGCAAAAAUGUUAUCCCUCUGCACAGGCAGUGAGAUCAGGACAGAGGAGGGGGGUGGGGAUGGUCUGUCUUAACAAUCACCGUACUGCCAGUAUUGAAAAAUUUCCUUUUUUGUUUGAGCAAGUUCUAUAUGAAUUUUUAAUACUUGCAAGUAGACUUCUGAUCUCAAAGAGGGGUUUUCCCCCUUUGUUCGUUUUUGUUGUGAGGUAUAAAUGAAAAAAUGUAGGUCUGGCUAACAAAUACUAACAAUUAUUUUUAUUUGCUGAUAGCAUCCAUCUACCAGCAUCCUAUGGUCAUUUCCCGUCUGAAGACAUUUUUCCCUUAACAGACUGUGCCCUGCCCAUGUCCCAAGUCAUCUAACCAAGACUGGCGGGAACACCACCCUUUCCAGGGGCUUGGUCUAUAAAUGGAAUUAGUAUUGCUGCCUUAAGCUUGAAUCUGGUAUGUAUCUGGAAAACCUCUGCAUUCCUGCACGUCUAGUGAACCUCGGCUUUAGCCCCAAAAUGCAAAGUUCCAUCAAGGCCCCUGAUUUUUCAUCCCAUUUUGGUCUGAGACUGAAAUCCUGCAGCAACUUGACUGGCUAUUGCCAACAUGUUGUCUACACAAGCUAAAACAGUACCAGUUUAUCUCAUUCUAGAUGCUAGGGGCCCCAUAAACCACAGCAAUACCACCCACUGGUUUGAACUUAUGGAAACUAUAGCAGACCUCUGCAUAAGGAAGCCAAUCUGACAUGAAUACUAGCUUGCUAUCCUCCUUGAAUGCAAUGACUUCAAGAAGUGGGAGACAGGUUAGCCAUGGAAGUCUAAGCACUUUAUGUUAUAUCUGCCAGCUGCCCAAGUUUCAACAUGCCUUUACAGCUGAACAGACCAGUUCCAAGGUAAACUAAAUGAGAGCAGGCAUAUUUGUCUGUUUUGUUAGCUGAUGUAUCCCUCACCCUUAGAAUAGUGCCAAGCACAUGAGAGGUGCUCAACAAACCUUAGUGGAAUUAACUAAUAAAAUGAUCUGGUAUGCUAGACAUCUAUUUUUGUUUUUCUCAGUAUUUCUUUCUUCUGAGAAUCGCUUCUUUCCCAUUCCAUGUUAUUCUGGUGGAGCUGUCAGCCAUGAAACAGAACAAGCUAACAAAUGGUGUCAUGAGUCUAGGGGCUCACGGAAAUACAAGUCCCUAACUCCUAGAUUCCCCACAGUAAGCAGGUAUCUGUAGUGCUUCCUACUUCUAGAGAAUUUGAGGCAUACAAUCAGGAACAGUGAUGAAUGUGGGUGGUACAUGCUGCAGGUAGAUUUAUUCAGAGGCUAAAUUUUAUGUGAACACUUAUCACAAAAUCCAAGCCAACAGGGUAAAAUAAACCUCUAGUGAGAUAAGCUUAUGUUUCUAUUACUGACUUUCAUAACUAAUCAAAUACAAAUAUCAGAAAUUAAAUUAUUCAAAUAAAUUUAAGAUGAAACUUUUUCAAAUUUCUGUUAGAUGAAAUACAAUUUUUAUAAGGUUAGCUUUAGUAUGAUAAUACUAUUUAGAAAAAUAGGUUUUUCAGAAAAAAUGUAAUCUGUAGAAUAAAAAAACCCUAUAUAUUGGAUUUAAAUGAUCCAGUAAGUGGGUAGCAGGAGAGCUAUGGUUGUAUAAGGAUUUUUAAAAAUUGUGGUAAAAUAUAUAUAAAAUUUACCCUCUUAACCACUUUCUACAUGUACAAUUCAGUGAUGGUAAGCACAUUUACAAGGUUGUAAUUGUGCUAUCCAUUUCUAGAACAUUUUUGUGAUUACAAACAGAUACCGUGUAUCCCUUAACCAAUAAUUUCCCAUUUCCCCCCUUCUUCAGCCCCUGGUAAUGUCUAUUCUGCUUUCUGUCUCUGUGAAUUUGUCUAUUCUGGCUACCCCAAAGAAGUGGACUCAGACAGUAUUAGUCCUUUUGUGCUGGCUUAUUACCAUGAUGUUUUCAGGGUUCAUCCAUGUUGUGGCAUGUAUCAGAAUUGCAUUUUU